UGCAAGUCGAGCGAACGGACGAGAAGCUUGCUUCUCUGAUGUUAGCGGCGGACGGGUGAGUAACACGUGGAUAACCUACCUAUAAGACUGGGAUAACUUCGGGAAACCGGAGCUAAUACCGGAUAAUAUUUUGAACCGCAUGGUUCAAAAGUGAAAGACGGUCUUGCUGUCACUUAUAGAUGGAUCCGCGCUGCAUUAGCUAGUUGGUAAGGUAACGGCUUACCAAGGCAACGAUGCAUAGCCGACCUGAGAGGGUGAUCGGCCACACUGGAACUGAGACACGGUCCAGACUCCUACGGGAGGCAGCAGUAGGGAAUCUUCCGCAAUGGGCGAAAGCCUGACGGAGCAACGCCGCGUGAGUGAUGAAGGUCUUCGGAUCGUAAAACUCUGUUAUUAGGGAAGAACAUAUGUGUAAGUAACUGUGCACAUCUUGACGGUACCUAAUCAGAAAGCCACGGCUAACUACGUGCCAGCAUCCGCGGUAAUACGUAGGUGGCAAGCGUUAUCCGGAAUUAUUGGGCGUAAAGCGCGCGUAGGCGGUUUUUUAAGUCUGAUGUGAAAGCCCACGGCUCAACCGUGGAGGGUCAUUGGAAACUGGAAAACUUGAGUGCAGAAGAGGAAAGUGGAAUUCCAUGUGUAGCGGUGAAAUGCGCAGAGAUAUGGAGGAACACCAGUGGCGAAGGCGACUUUCUGGUCUGUAACUGACGCUGAUGUGCGGAAGCGUGGGGAUCAAACAGGAUUAGAUACCCUGGUAGUCCACGCUCGUAAACGAUGAGUGCUAAGUGUUAGGGGGUUUCCGCCCCUUAGUGCUGCAGCUAACGCAUUAAGCACUCCGCCUGGGGAGUACGACCGCAAGGUUGAAACUCAAAGGAAUUGACGGGGACCCGCACAAGCGGUGGAGCAUGUGGUUUAAUUCGAAGCAACGCGAAGAACCUUACCAAAUCUUGACAUCCUUUGACAACUCUAGAGAUAGAGCUUUCCCCUUCGGGGGACAAAGUGACAGGUGGUGCAUGGUUGUCGUCAGCUCGUGUCGUGAGAUGUUGGGUUAAGUCCCGCAACGAGCGCAACCCGUUAAGUCUUCAGUUGCCAUCAUUAAGUUGGGCACUCUAAGUUGACUGCCGGUGACAAACCGGAGGAAGGUGGGGAUGACGUCAAAUCAUCAUGCCCCUCUAUGAUUUGGGCUACACACGUGCUACAAUGGACAAUACAAAGGGCAGCGAAACCGCGAGGUCAAGCAAAUCCCAUAAAGUUGUUCUCAGUUCGGAUUGUAGUCAUGCAACUCGACUACAUGCAAGCUGGAACCGCUAGUAAUCGUAGAUCAGCAUGCUACGGUGAAUACGUUCCCGGGUCUUGUACACACCGCCCGUCACACCACGAGAGUUUGUAACACCCGAAGCCAGGUGGAGUAACC
rnacentral:rRNA from 1 species